rnacentral:miRNA from 1 species
CAGGCUUCUCCCCUCAAUCUCAGGACUAACCAUUUUAUUGUGAGCCUGAGAGG